UAAAUAAAAAAAGGAGAGACUACUUCUCUUAAAUAAAUUAUCUCUUUUUUUUAUUAUUUAUUUAAUUAGAAAAAGGGAGAGACCACUUAUUUUGGAUAAAUGGUUUUUUUUCCUAUUCUCCCAAAAAAAAAAAAACUGAUCCACUUGCAUAGCAGCAUAGUACUACAUAGAUUGCCAACAUGUAAAAAUAUCAAAAACUAGAGCUCCCCCAUUCUCUCUCUUGUCACAAACCCUAAAAUUGAAAAAGCCCCUAAAUUUCAUCCUUCCUCUCGCCGUUUUUUUUUCUUUCCCUCUCAUUCUCUAGAUCUCUUUCCUAUUUCCAUGGAAGCUUUCAAUUUCUCUCUCUCUGAUUCAAUUCCAUCUCCUUGGUCUUAUCUUCCUAUGCUUCCAUGGAAGCUUUAAACUUUUACCUUUUUUUUUUUUUCCUAAUUUGGUGAGUCUAAGUUGAAAGAUAACGCCUAUUGCGGAGUUGGAACUUUAGAAGAGUUGGAACACUCUCAGGUUCAUUGCUUUCUCUCAUACUAUACCUCAUUGAUCCUACCGGACUUCAUACUAUAUUCCCGAAUUCCUAUUAUUUCCUUCAAUUUAAUCUCAUUUGUUUUUUCAAUUUAAUCAUCGAAAUUUAAUUGUUAGUUCUUGAUCUAACGAGGUGAUUUACGAAUAAUUGCAUCAUUAUAUCAAUUUCUUCAUUUUAAUUUUUUUUUUUUUGUUAUUUUUCGUUUAUUACUUUCCCUUUUCUUUGUUUUUAAUAUUGUAAUUUUUUUAAUUUUUGGGUUUAACUUCGAAUCUUGAGUUCGUUUGUGAGUAGUUAAGUAUUUUUGGGUUUAAUUUGGUUUUUUGGGUGGUUUGUGGUCGAAUUUGGUGGUGGUUCUUAAGGGGGAUGGUGGUUGAGGUCUGUGGGUUGAAGAAGGCUGCUUGGGCUUGAUUAGGUGGUUUCUAUUUUUUUUAAUUAUUAUUAUUAUUUUGCGAAUUGGUGGGAGUGGGAGGUUAUCGCAGGGUGGUGAUGUUGGGCUUCAUUUUUGUUUAAGUUUUUGUUUUCAUUUAAGUAUUUAAUUUAUGUGUUUGUAUAUGUAAUUGCUAAUUUAAAAGUCUGUAUAUUAUGUAUUUUUUGUUUUUUUUUUAUAAAUGUGUGCUAAUUUUGAAUCUCUUUGAAAAACUUUCAAGAUAAAAAGUGAAGAUCAAUAAUUUUACUUGUUGAAUAAUUCGAUUGGCGUGAGAUUGAUACAAAGAUAUGCUUAAAAGGCCUUGGUUGUAACAUUAAUUAGUUUUUUUUUAGUACGAGUAUGACUUUACUUUUGUAAAAUUUAGGAUAUAAUAUUGAUUGUACUCUAGUAUUAAUGAGAUUUUUUUAUUGGUUUUGUAAUAUCUUUUUACGAACUACGUGUAUUCUUUAAGUAUUAAUGAAUUGUUUUUUUUUUUGUUUAAUUGAAGCAUAUUUUUUGAGGUAAUAAUUGAAAAUGUAUAUAUUAAAAUACAAAUUUUAUUACUACCUCCGGAUCAUAUAAUGCAACUUUGAAAUUUUUUUAUAUCUCAUAAAUAAUACCCCAAAGUUGCAUAUAAUAUGAUCUGGAGGUAGUAUUUUUUUUAAAAAAAAGGAAAAAAGAGACAAACUAUUAGAAAUAGGCGGUCUCAAUUUUUGUAACACUGAAACCAUCUAUUUGAAAUAGGUGGUCGUAGUCUAUGAAAAACCGAGACCAUCUAUUUGAAAUAAGUGGUCUCAAAUUUUUAAAAAAUUGAGACCACCUAUUCUAAAUUAGUGGGUUAUCUUUUUAAAUCAAGAGACCACUUUUAUGAAAUGGUAUCUUAGGCAAAAGAGACCUGUGAGCUAAAGACCACCCCUAAGGUAGUCUCUUUGGCCAUUUUGAUACGAUCUCUUUGGCCAAUUUUGUAGUAGCGUCAAUUCACUUUCAUCUCAAAACUAAAGGAUUUUUUAUGUCCUUGUCGUGUGCAAUUACUAUGAUAUAUAAAUGGAUCAAAUUAUGGAGAUAAUGAAGUUAGUACAUUAGGGUCGUCGUUUAUUAUAGCUAGAGGUACUAACGAUUUUUGGUCUAGUAACAUAGCCCAAAACCUAAUUGGAUGGAUCCUAUAAAGUCACACAAAGGGUCUAGAUCGAGCACGAGAGGACAAGGCCCAUGAUGGGCCUCAUUCUCUAGUAUGGUCGGCCAUGCAUGUGGAGUACAUUUGAGGGUUUUGGGCUUCCUAACCCUAGUUUGAUUAUAAUGGGAUUAUAAAUAGACUAGGUGUCUAGGUUUUGCAAAAUGCUAUUAACUGAUCAGUAAGAUCAAACCCUAAUUAGAAAACACGAGAACAACCCCUCUCAAACUCUCCUUUCUCUCCUCCCUUGGCACCAGUGUGGUGGUUCGUGGUGGUGGUGGUUCAUGGUGGUAGGCUUAGUCCAUUAAAGGUGGUGAUCGUGGUUUUCCUCUAUCACGCGACCAAUCUAGUAUUGGUGGACGACUCGUUCGAAGCUCGUGGACUAAGUAGAGGAGCAACGCUUGGGGCUGUAUUCUCUCCCUGAUUUGUCAUUCAAAUUGCUAUAUGGAAUUUACGCUUCAAAGGUAGCGCAGCCACAGCGGUUACCGACCAGGUGGCAGUCCAAGGGGACGGGGAAGGAAGGGCGACGGUCCUGGUGGCUAGGGAAACAUCUGUGAAAGCGUUGCAUGCUGCUGCCGUGGCUGCCUCUGCUUCUGGUCAGUUACAGUGGCUAGCCUCGGCUAGCCAACCACUUAGGCGGGUGCAUGGAACUUGGUGGAAGAAGUGCAAGAUGUGCCACGUGUUGUGACACGUAAUCGGGACAAGCUCCUUGGUGGUCACCUGUCGGGGUUGACUAUCAUUACACUUGAAGAUCGAAAGAUUUGAAGUGGUGCAGCCGAACCAAGGAAGUUCGACCGAGCCUCCCAUGCCGUAGCAAAUCAGAUUUCAACAUUUUUGUAGUAGAGGUCGAAAUCCAAAAGUUCGACCGAACCAGGAGCAGAGAAGUUCGAUCGAACCUACUCUUGGUUCGACCGAACCUACCCAGUUGUCCGACCUAACCUACCUAGUGUUUGGCCGAACCUUUUCUCGUUUUUCAGUCAUUUUCGUACGGACUAUUUAAGUUCCUUUUGAGAACGUUUUGCAUUAAUUUUCAUUUUUGAACUUUGCUUGA